rnacentral:rRNA from 1 species
UACGGAGGAUCCGAGCGUUAUCCGGAUUUAUUGGGUUUAAAGGGUGCGCAGGCGGGAGAUUAAGUCGGCGGUGAAAUUUUGCAGCUCAACUGUAAAAGUGCCUUCGAUACUGGUUUCCUUGAGUGUGGAUGAAGUAGGCGGAAUUUGUGGUGUAGCGGUGAAAUGCUUAGAUAUCACGAGGAACUCCGAUUGCGCAGGCAGCUUACUAAACUACUACUGACGCUCAGGCACGAAGGCGUGGGGAUCAAACAGGAUUAGAUACCCGCGUAGU